GAUGAACGCUGGCGGCGUGCCUAAUACAUGCAAGUCGAGCGAACGGACGAGAAGCUUGCUUCUCUGAUGUUAGCGGCGGACGGGUGAGAAACACGUGGAUAACCUACCUAUAAGACUGGGAUAACUUCGGGAAACCGGAGCUAAUACCGGAUAAUAUUUUGAACCGCAUGGUUCAAAAGUGAAGGACGGUCUUGCUGUCACUUAUAGAUGGAUCCGCGCUGCAUUAGCUAGUUGGUAAGGUAACGGCUUACCAAGGCAACGAUGCAUAGCCGACCUGAGAGGGUGAUCGGCCACACUGGAACUGAGACACGGUCCAGACUCCUACGGGAGGCAGCAGUAGGGAAUCUUCCGCAAUGGGCGAAAGCCUGACGGAGCAACGCCGCGUGAGUGAUGAAGGUCUUCGGAUCGUAAAACUCUGUUAUUAGGGAAGAACAUAUGUGUAAGUAACUGUGCACAUCUUGACGGUACCUAAUCAGAAAGCCACGGCUAACUACGUG
rnacentral:rRNA from 1 species